UCUGGUCCUUGUGUGCCCGCCGCCGCGGUCCUACGUAUGGUGCACGCGUUCUCCGGAUUUACUGGGUGUAAAGGGAGCGUAGACGGAGUGGCAAGUCUGAUGUGAAAACCCGGGGCUCAACCCCGGGACUGCAUUGGAAACUGUCAAUCUAGAGUACCGGAGAGGUAAGCGGAAUUCCUAGUGUAGCGGUGAAAUGCGUAGAUAUUAGGAGGAACACCAGUGGCGAAGGCGGCUGAAGGGACGGGAAAGGACGGGGAGGCGCGAAAGCGGGGGGAGCAAACAGGAGGAGAAACCCCGGGAGGCCGGCUGACUGACU
rnacentral:rRNA from 1 species